UGCCAGUUAUGUCACUGAUGAACUGCUUAUAAGAUAGCACUGCUGGCAGAGCAAUAAUAUUUGGAAGAAAUCUGUUCAGUUUCCAUAAUCCACUGAUCUUCAGUAAUUCUGCAGCAGGCAAGAAGGUUGCCUGAGGUGAUGCCUGAGGAUGAUGCUGCCAUAUGGUCAUCUCUGUCCUCAGAAACAUUGUUUCUGAAGUCACACUGCUGUGCUGCACUCUUCUAAAUGUCUGCUUUGGAAAUAAGAACAAUGUUAGGAACAGUUGCAUGGUGUUGGUCUGUUUUGCAUUACAAAGUGUUUUUGUAUCAUAAAGUUCUGGACCAGGUCAUUACCUCCAUCUUUAAACAUGAAGGAACAGAAACUCAGCUGGCCUAAUUUGGCUUAACUCCAUGGAUUUCAUUGCUGUGAACACGCUAAAGAUUUCAUCCUUUGCAGUAAGAUUCCUCCACACAAGAUUUAUUUUCUUUUGGUUAUGUAAAUAAUUCGUGAAAUAUAAAAAAUAAUUGUAUUGAUUCAGCCUCUGUUAACUCAUGGGAGAAAUCCUGCACAAGGCAUGCAGGGUGCUGGCUGUGGUUGGCUGCAAGUGGCAGGGCAGCACCGUGCUGCUUGGCUGGGAUGGCUGCAAGCUAAGACCAGCUCCUGCUUCAGGAAUGCACAGGCACGGGGCUCUGCCCCGAGCUCCUGGCCAUGACAGUGGAGCCAGUCCCACAGGCUGAGCAUGGUGGGGACCUGUGAGAUGACUGCCAUG
ensembl:lncRNA